AAGCAGUAAAUCCACAUCAGACAUGUGGAGGAGGCUGUGAAUUUAACUGUUGACCUGUUUUAGAACAAUGUUGUCUUUGACAUGGCACCAGAACAGGUGAUCACAGAUGCUCUUUACAAUCACAAAGAUAAUAUGGAUAAGUUAGAGACCAUCAUAUGAUACUAGCAAAGACAAAUUCUGUUAUAAAUCAGAGGGCAAGGCUUUUCUGAGUCAGAUUGUAAUAAAUUACUAAGUAAUACUUUACAAAAUAAUUACUAAGUAAUAAAGGAUAGAGACUGAUUUACUGAAACAAGAGAGUUUUACUUCUAAUAUUCAAAUUGCUUUUAAUCUUUUUCUAUUGGCAUAUAAUUUGUCACAUACGAUAUACUUGUUUUUAUUCACUUUCUAUGGAUGAUUUAAAAAACACAGUGUGGUGAUGAGAACAUUGCCCAACUUCACUGACAAUUCCAAUACCUGGUGAUGUGUAUAUACUGGAUCCUAGGGAUAGUAGUAUAAU
rnacentral:lncRNA from 1 species